rnacentral:rRNA from 1 species
CCCUUAGAUGUUCUGGGCCGCACACGCGCUACACUGAAGGAGGCAGCGUGUGCUCCUGGAUCGAAAGAUUUGGGUAACCCGCGAAUCUCCUUCGUGCUAGGGAUUGAGGUUUGCAAUUAUCCUUCAUGAACGAGGAAUUCCCAGUAAGUGCAAGUCAUAAGCUUGCGCUGACUACGUCCCUGCCCUUUGUACACACCACCCGUCGCUACUACCGAUUGAAUGAUUUAGUGAGGACUUCGGACUGGGACCGAUGCGGCUUUCGGGCUGCGUCGGUAUUCUGGAAAGAUGUCCAAACUGUAUCAUUUAGAGGAAGUAAAAGUCGUAACA